rnacentral:rRNA from 1 species
AUUGAACGCUGGCGGCAGGCCUAACACAUGCAAGUCGAACGAGUGGCGGACGGGUGAGUAAUGUCUGGGAAACUGCCCGAUGGAGGGGGAUAACUACUGGAAACGGUAGCUAAUACCGCAUACCAUCGGAUGUGCCCAGAUGGGAUUAGCUAGUAGGUGGGGUAAAGGCUGACCUAGGCGACGAUCCCUAGCUGGUCUGAGAGGAUGACAGUCCACACUGGAACUGAGAAACGGUCAAGAGUCCUCCGGGAGGCAGCAGUGGGGAAUAUUGCACAAUGGGUGCAAGCCUGAUGCAGCCAGGCCGCGUGUAUGAAGAAGGCCUCCGGGUUGUAAAGUACGUUCAGCGGGGAGGCGUUACCCGCAGAAGAAGCACCGGCUAACUACGUGCCAGCAGCCGCGGUAAUAC